AUACGGAGGGUCCAAGCGUUAUCCGGAUUCAUUGGGUUUAAAGGGUCCGCAGGCGGGAAAAUAAGUCAGUGGUGAAAGCCUACAGCUCAACUGUAGAACUGCCAUUGAUACUGUUUUUCUUGAGUAUAGAUGAAGUGGGCGGAAUAUAUCAUGUAGCGGUGAAAUGCAUAGAUAUGCUAUAGAACACCGAUUGCGAGGGCAGCUCACUAAACUAUUACUGACGCUCAGGGACGAAAGCGUGGGGAGCGAACAGGAUUAGAAACCCCAGUAGUCC
rnacentral:rRNA from 1 species